rnacentral:rRNA from 1 species
UACGAAGGGGGCUAGCGUUGCUCGGAAUCACUGGGCGUAAAGGGUGCGUAGGCGGGUUUUUAAGUCAGGGGUGAAAUCCUGGAGCUCAACUCCAGAACUGCCUUUGAUACUGAAGAUCUUGAGUCCGGGAGAGGUGAGUGGAACUGCGAGUGUAGAGGUGAAAUUCGUAGAUAUUCGCAAGAACACCCGUGGCGAAGGCGGCUCUCUGGGACGGUACUGACGCUGAGACGCGAAAGCGUGGGGAGCGAACAGG